UAUAAAAAUAAAAAAACUACCUAUAUAAUUCUGAAAAUAAGGUUCAGAUGUUUCUACAAAAAAACCGUAAAUUUUUUUACUAUAGGUAAAUCAAAUUUAUAG
rnacentral:ncRNA from 2 species